CUGGAGGUGCUAACCUAGGAAGAAUUGGUGUGAUCACCAACAGAGAGAGGCACCCUGGAUCUUUUGACGUGGUUCACGUGAAAGAUGCCAAUGGCAACAGCUUUGCCACUCGACUUUCCAACAUUUUUGUUAUUGGCAAGGGCAACAAACCAUGGAUUUCUCUUCCCCGAGGAAAGGGUAUCCGCCUCACCAUUGCUGAAGAGAGAGACAAAAGACUGGCGGCCAAACAGAGCAGAGUCUGUGAGCCACUUCACUACAAGAACUUGGAGUCCUCGCCUUUGCAUUCCCGGUGCCGGGCAAAGUGCCCACCUCCAAAGGUGCCCAGUAAAUAUCGAAUGAAAUGCCUUCAUAUGAUCCGUCCAGAAGAACGUUGGAGUUUCCAGAACCAAAUUAGGAGGACUGAGCCUUCUUCAGUCCCUAAUUCAGGAGCACCACCUCUCUGCUUUCCCCCACCUCUCCCUGAAACCCCAGCCUUGCCGUGGCUGUUUGUUGUGCCCGGCCUCCUUCCCUGCCUCUCAGAGUCCUCUCUCCCUUCCCCCAUCCGCCCCCUGCUCGCCCGCCUGAGUACAGGCUAUUAUCUGGGGGUGGUAAUUAUUGCGAGCAAAU
rnacentral:sRNA from 1 species